UUGUCAAUUGUGUUCUAUUUAUUUAUAUUGUAGUCCUGUAAAGUUGUGUUGUCAUCUUAAUGUUAUAUUUCACAUGGCCAUAAAGGAGGGAGGUUUGGCAUGCCACAAAACCAGGUUCAACCCACCAUUUUUUCCUUUUAAAAUGUCCUGUACCAAGUCAGGAAUAUGGCCAUUGUUAUAUUAUAGUUCGUUUCUGUGUGUGUUACAUUUUAACGUUGUGUCGUU
rnacentral:lncRNA from 1 species